rnacentral:rRNA from 1 species
AUUCCAGCUCCAAUAGCGUAUAUUAAAGUUGCUGCAGUUAAAAAGCUCGUAGUUGGAUCUCGGGUGCAGGCUUGCGGUCCGCCUCGCGGCGGUCACUGCUCGUCCUGACCUCCACGCCGGUUGUCCGCGCCUUGGUGCUCUUGAUUGAGUGUCUCGGCCGGCCGGAACGUUUACUUUGAAGAAAUUAGAGUGCUCAAAGCAGGCUACUACCGCCUGAAUAAUGGUGCAUGGAAUAAUGGAAUAGGACCUCGGUUCUAUUUUGCUGGUUUUCGGAGCUCGAGGUAAUGAUUAAUAGGGACAGACGGGGGCAUUCGUAUUGCGGCGCUAGAGGUGAAAUUCUUGGACCGUCGCAAGACGAACUACAGCAAUAGCAUUUGCCAAGCAUGCUUUCAUUG